rnacentral:rRNA from 1 species
AUUACUCCUACGGGAGGCAGCAGUGAGGAAUAUUGGUCAAUGGGCGAAAGCCUGAACCAGCAACGCCGCGUGAGGGAUGAAGGCCUUCGGGUCGUAAACCUCUUUUCUGGGAGAAGAGACAAGGACGGUAUCCCAGGAAUAAGUCUCGGCUAACUACGUGCCAGCAGCCGCGGUAAUAAU